rnacentral:misc_RNA from 1 species
GAAAUGCGAUAAGUAAUGUGAAUUGCAGAAUUCAGCGAAUCAUCGAAUCUUUGAACGCACAUUGCGCCCAGCAGUAUUCUGCUGGGCAUGCCUGUUCGAGCGUCAUUUCAACCCUCAAGCGCUGCUGUGCUUGGUGUUGGGGCAUCUGCGGGCCGCCGGACGGCGCCCCGCAGGCCCUGAAAGAUAGUGGCGGGCUCGUCGUGUCCCUGAGCGUAGUAAAUACACCUCGCUUCUGCGGCGCGCGGCGGGUUCUCUAGCCGUUAAACCCCCCCCAAUUUACACAAGGUUGACCUCGGAUCAGGUAGGAAUACCCGCUGAACUUAA